CAGAGAGUAGUUUAAUAAAAUAUUAGUUUUGGGAAUUAAAGAUAGAAGUUACUUUUUUCUCUGA
rnacentral:tRNA from 1 species